ACCUGUAGGGUCCCUCUGACUCUAGAAUUGUAGUUAUUUUGGCUCACUGAUGUGUGGUAAGGCCUUCUGGAACUCAGCAAUAAAGUUAAGGAUUACCUUGCCAAUAAGCUUCUACGCUUAAAUGAAAUAACCUUGGGAGCCUCUUCUCUGUCAUCCAACAGAGCAGAUGCCCUUAGAGCUCUCAGCAAUACCUCUGGGGCCAGAACCUGCUGGCUCUAGAAAGUCUCACUUGUCCAUCACUGACCACUGGGCAUUUCAGUAGCGUGUCUUCCUUGCUCUCUCCCCAAAGUAUGAAAUGCUCAGGACCUUGGCCGUGCAGUUUGGAGAUGCCUGGGCCUAGUGUCCAAGAACUGUUCUCCUUGAGUUAAUGGAAGUGCUAGACUAUGCUACUGGCUGUUGCCCAGAAGGACUCGUGGUGCCUGUGUGCGAAGGGCCAUGGCUCUUCUGUGGACCCACAACUUCACGGAAAUUUCAUGAGAGCUGACUUCUCUCAUCUGCCUUAGACAGAUCCUGUAAGGCAAAGAAAAAGGAAGAUCAGAGGAGGUAUAGAAUUUGCCCAAUGUUGCACGUAAUCAGUAAAUGUAAUGACGAGGGUGUGAACACCCAAGUGUAAUAUAUCUUCUGCUGGUAUUGCAGUUGCAGUGGGAGGAACGCCUUGCCCCUACCUACUAAAUCCUACUUGGAAGCAAAAGUCUAAAAACUGACUAUUAAUCUAUUUUUUUUCAUCAAUGAAAGCACCCUGAGUCAUAUUGCUUUGCCAAUAUUUUAUUAUGAAAAUUUUCAAACAAACAGCAAAAUUGAAAGAAGUUUAUAAUGAAGAACCCAUGUACCCGGUGGCAUGUUGGUAAGCUGGCUUUCCAGACAAAAAAUAAAAAAAGCUCUGACAUGUGUGGUUUGCUGAUUUCUGUGGUGUAGAUAUUCCCACCAUGGCCAAUUUCAAGAUACCAGUGUGAUUUGGGGAAGAUGUGAACAAACUCAGCUCAGGCACACCACUGCAUGGAACCAUCAUCUACACUCUACCACUAACGUUUCAGUAUACUUGUUUAUCACAUGUGUAUCCAGCCCUGUGUCAAUAAAUCUUAUUUUUUGUAAAUUUCAGAUAUAAAUAU
rnacentral:lncRNA from 1 species